GCUAUCGUGGCCUAAUGGAUAAGGCGUUGGUAUUCGUAACCAAAGACUGUGGGUUCGAGUCCCAUCGAGAUCG
rfam:Perkinsus marinus ATCC 50983 gcontig_1104296143012, whole genome shotgun sequence.